rnacentral:rRNA from 1 species
GACGAACGCUGGCGGCGUGCUUAACACAUGCAAGUCGAGCGGAAAGGCCCUGCUUUUGUGGGGUGCUCGAGUGGCGAACGGGUGAGUAACACGUGAGUAACCUGCCCUUGACUUUGGGAUAACUUCAGGAAACUGGGGCUAAUACCGGAUAGGAGCUCCUGCUGCAUGGUGGGGGUUGGAAAGUUUCGGCGGUUGGGGAUGGACUCGCGGCUUAUCAGCUUGUUUGUGGGGUAGUGGCUUACCAAGGCUUUGACGGGUAGCCGGCCUGAGAGGGUGACCGGCCACAUUGGGACUGAGAUACGGCCCAGACUCCUACGGGAGGCAGCAGUGGGGAAUAUUGCACAAUGGGCGGAAGCCUGAUGCAGCAACGCCGCGUGCGGGAUGACGGCCUUCGGGUUGUAAACCGCUUUCGCCUGUGACGAAGCGUGAGUGACGGUAAUGGGUAAAGAAGCACCGGCUAACUACGUG